CCUACGGGAGGCUGCAGUGGGGAAUAUUGGACAAUGGGCGAAAGCCUGAUCCAGUCAUGCCGCGUGUGUGAAGAAGGCCUUCGGGUUGUAAAGCACUUUCAGUGGGGAAGAAAGCCUUGGGGCUAAUACCCUCGAGGAAGGACAUCACCCACAGAAGAAGCACCGGCUAACUCCGUGCCAGCAGCCGCGGUAAUACGGAGGGUGCGAGCGUUAAUCGGAAUUACUGGGCGUAAAGCGCGCGUAGGCGGUCUGAUAAGCCGGUUGUGAAAGCCCCGGGCUCAACCUGGGAACGGCAUCCGGAACUGUCAGGCUAGAGUGCAGGAGAGGAAGGUAGAAUUCCCGGUGUAGCGGUGAAAUGCGUAGAGAUCGGGAGGAAUACCAGUGGCGAAGGCGGCCUUCUGGACUGACACUGACGCUGAGGUGCGAAAGCGUGGGUAGCAAACAGGAUUAGAUACCCGUGUAGUC
rnacentral:rRNA from 1 species